UUUACAGUGAUUGCAUUUGAAUACUCUCUGACACAUACGCUCUGUGACAAUUCUCCUUUCUUUCUUUCUUUCUUUCUUUCUUUCUGCUCUUCAUUCUUCCUCAAUUGCUUUGUCUCACUCUUUUUCACUGAGCAGGUUGGGGCAAGUGUAUCAGCAGUCAGACAGAUUGGUUACUACCCCGGGGUUUUGGGAAUUUGCUGGGGAGGAAACCAUGUCAGAAAGCUGCCAGGCAGCCAAACAGCUCUCUCGAGGGACAGAAAAAAAGAGGACGUGAUAAGAGGAGUGAGAGGUGUAGAUGGACUGCCAUCAUGUGGAUCUGCUGCCCACUGCUUCUGCAGAGAGAGGAAAAACUGACCCACAGAGGGCUUACCUUUCUACACUGCAUGGUGGGUGGUGCAGUGAUGCUACCAUAUUAUAAUAUUAAUAGUUGAGCUUAAAAUAUUAAU
ensembl:lncRNA